CCAAGCCCGGAGCUGGCUCUCAAUUUCUGGGGGGGCACUCACUCCAGAAAGAAUGUAACCAAACGGUUGAGAUGAAAAAAAAUUUUUUCCGGAAUAUUCUGGCGACCUCCCCACCCCCCCCCGUCGCCAAAAAAUUUUCGGUCAGUGUACCAUUUUAGGGGUCAAAAAAAUUUAUCGGACAUAACAAUUUUUCCAAACAUACUCCAUUUUUCCGAAA